GCCUAGGUAGUAUAUGAAGUGCGGCCGUUUUUCGUGCGGUAAGUGGUCUUAGAUGAUCCCUGGGUU